rnacentral:tmRNA from 1 species
GGGGUAGUAAAGGUUUCGACAGGGGUUUUGAAGCUGGUGAAGCUAUUCGCAGGUGAUGCGUUAAAUCACAACUUAAAUAUAAACGCUAACAAUGAUUUAGCAGUAGCAGCCUAGUUCUGCUACGAAGGCUGCCAUUAGUUGCAGCAGUCUGACCCAGAGUACCUGCACUUUGGAAUUCAGGCUUCGACUAUGCAGGAAACGACUCAGUCAAAGCUUUGAGACUGUGGGCGUAUUAUGAAGCUACUGAAUGUAUCAGGGUGUUAGUUUCCUGAUACAGGAGGGAAUGAGGGCAACCGAAAUAACUGACUAUAAUAGUAGAAGAACAGUGAAUGGGCUUUUGGACAUGGGUUCGACUCCCAUCUACUCCAU